GAGACUCUGUGCGCGUGCAUAUCAAUAAGCGGAGGAAAAGAAACUAACUAAGGAUUCCCUCAGUAACGGCGAGUGAAGCGGGAAGAGCUCAAAUUUGAAAUCUUCAAGGUUCUACCUUGACGAAUUGUAGUUUAUAGAAGUGUUUUCUGUUAGUAGAGUUUGGUAAAAGUUCUUUGGAAUAGGACAUCAUAGAGGGUGAGAAUCCCGUAUUUGAUCAUUAUUUCCUAGCUUUGUGAUACACUUUCAACGAGUCGGAUUGUUUGGGAAUGCAGUCCAAAAUGGGUGGUAAAUUUCAUCUAAAGCUAAAUACUGGCGAGAGACCGAUAGCGAACAAGUACCGUGAGGGAAAGAUGAAAAGAACUUUGAAAAGAGAGUUAAACAGUACGUGAAAUUGUCAAAAGGGAAGCGUUUGACACCAGUGUUGUUUUCUCGAAAAUCAAUUAAAAAUGAGUGGAUUUUGUAUUGUAAUUGACCUUUAUCAGCUUUACUGCUACUUUUUUCCUGUCUUUUUUAAUGCACUUUUCGUUUAACAAGUCAACAUCAAUUUCUUUUGUUGUAGAAGAGUCAUUGGAAGGUGGCUUUCUUUUCGGAGAAAGUGUUUAUAGCCUUUGGCUUCUGCAAUCGGAGAGAUUGAGGUCUGCAGCGUAGAUCCUUCGGGGUUAGAUACAUUUGUGCUAAGCUAUAGUUCUUUAUAGACAACUUGUUGACUAUAAUCAAUCCUGUAACUUACUCGCUUAUGCUAUUUUACCUACGCUUAGGAUGUUGAGUCGUAGAGCACGCAG
rnacentral:rRNA from 1 species